GACGUAGGGCGCGAGCGUUGUCCGGAUUUAUUGGGCGUAAAGAGCUCGUAGGCGGCUUGUCGCGUCGACUGUGAAAACCCGUGGCUCAACCAUGUGGUCUGCAGUCGAUACGGGCAGGCUAGAAUUCGGUAGGGGAGACUGGAAUUCCUGGUGUAGCGGUGAAAUGCGCAGAUAUCAGGAGGAACACCGGUGGCGAAGGCGGGUCUCUGGGCCGAUAUUGACGCUGAGGCGCGAAAGCUAGGGGAGCAAACGGG
rnacentral:rRNA from 1 species